rnacentral:tRNA from 1 species
GCCCUCGUAGCGCAGCGGAUAGCGCACCGGAUUACGGAUCCGGGGGUCGGCGGUUCGAAUCCGUCCGGGGGCACCA